CUCCUCCUCCUCUUCUUCUUCUCUUCUUCUUCUCUUCUUCUUCUUCUCUUUGGAAGAUCCACACGUCGCCCCUCUUCGAUUUUUCCUCCCAUCCGCUAACCAUCUCUCUCCCUCUCUCACAUACGCCGGAAAAGACUAGACGUUUGGUCAACAACGCGCAAAAUCCCUCUCUUUCUCUCCUUCAGCCGAUGCAACCACCCAACACCCCUUGCACCGCUGAACUCACUGGAAAUCAAGGUCAAGGGAGAUGUCAUGGCUAUGGGCUGAAGCUUUGAGAAAAAGAGAAUGAAAAAUGAAAUUUGCUUUGAUUGAAGGAUAGAGGGAAGUGAUUAUUGAUAAUUAUAGGGCUUGAAGAAUCCUCGAGAGAGUGACAAUGCUUGUUGAAUUUUUAUGAAAAUGCAACAUUGAAAAGGUUGAUGAGUUUCCAAUUUCAAAAGUCUACCUAAAGCUCUAUUGUUUGUUUAACUCAAAGGUAAAAAAAAAGUAAAGUAUGUGGACUUGCACCGAAUAGAGCCAUGGAAUUGGUGCAAGGGUUUGAUCAAGAGGCUGCUGCAGUUGUUGUGGCAAGAUUAACUUCAUAAAAAAUGGAGAUGAAAGUAUUCUUAAAUGCUUAUAUCCUUAAAAAUGCUUAUAUCACUUAUAUUUAUUCGUUUACGUCACCAAUAAUUCUCUUCAACAUUUUACAUUCACAUUACUACAUGGUAGCCCUCCAUUUUCUUCUUUGUUGUGGUAAUGUUGGUUCACAAAUGUAUGUGUUAUGGACGCUUAUAUUCAUGUUGUCUUCGUAGGUUCAACCGGAGUCGACAACUUCAUGAGUUUUCUUUCAAAGAACAUUUUCAGAGACAAACAUUCUCGGUUGGUCGUUUAUGCUUCUGCAGAAAAU